AUAUAUGACAACUAUAGAAAAAAUGUUUCGACAAAUUUAAUUCUAAAUAUCAAAUUCGGUCCACAAUUGUUGGUCCACAUAAAUGGAAUUUAAGUCGGACCAAAUGAUCACCCCAUUUGCAUCACUAAUUUGAACAGCUGAGUUCUUGAACUUAGUUCCACAUAUCGGAGUCAAAAUUGUCUGAUAGAUAAUUGAUUGAAAAUGCUUCAUAAUGGAAAUUCAUAUUCUACUUCAGGGACGUGAUUCAUCAUAAAAAUUCUAUUCCGGUUAUUGGUAUUUUUUAUCAAUUCAAUAUAUAGAAACUCAUGUAUAUACCAGGAAACAAUUCAAGUUUUUCGUUACGAAAUGUUCACUUCACCGCUAAUUAACCGUCAACAAAGAAAUAGUGAAACUUUCAAUACUAAGUUCUAAUCAACUCCAAUACCACUCGACUAUAUCUAUGUACUUAUUACAAAUUUUAUCUGAACUUAAUAUGUAAACAAAUUAUUAAUAGAAAGAAUAGAAAUAAUUAUCAAAAGAAAUUUCAGAUGAGGCAGCUUAUUCACAUGUUCAUGCACUAACUCGAUCACAGGUUAAAAGAACCAAACAUUUUGAUAGUAAUAUUAUAAUGAAACUGGUUGACUGAACAGAAAGAUGAAAUCCUCUCAUCCUUCUCCUCUUUUUGAAAGCCCCGGGUUUUUCAUUAUUCUCUCCUCGCCGGAGCAUAAUUUUUCUUCCGGGGACCUACCGUGUUCCAACUUUGGAAUUGUGGAAGAUCAUACAUCAAAGGAUUUUGUUUUCUCCCAAUCCCCCUGCAUUCAAGACACUAAGAGAAGGAGUUCAUCAAACCAAGUGAAAGGAGAAGGACUAAUAUCCAGAGUAAUAACUUCCACAUUUAUGAUCUCAUUCUUUUACAAGUUACUUUAGAGUCUCCAUAAGUACCCCUUCAUUCAAUACUUCAUCUCAUCUACUAAGUGUAGGAUUCAUAAACCCAGAAAGAAAAGGAGGAUUUUAAAAUUCUCUGCCACCCUCGAGCCUCAAAAACGUCAAGAUAUUAAACUCCCAAACCAUUUCCUCUACCAACGACCUCAGGCCCUGCCUCUGCAAUUGAUGAGAUAUUCCCACCUUAUAUAAAUAAGAGGAAGACCAUAAAACACCAACAUAGACAAAGUAAACCCACCAUCAAAAUAAAGCUCUCUUUGCCAAAAAAUUCAUACCUCAAGAAAGUGGAGAUGAACUACCUGCUUUCCCAAGCCGAAAACUGGAGCAUUGGUAAGGAAAACCCCCCAAAUCAAGCUCAAGCCUUCUGGUUCAUCCUCAUAUGGCCCUUUUUUCAUGAUCGGCAAAUGCAUCGGAAGCCAAGUGAUGAAAUACCCAGCGGUUGUAGGAAGUUCCAGGCGAUUCUGGGACGGUCAUGGGCAUUUUGAUGUAAAGUCAGUAAAAGCCUCCGAGCGCCAUUUUUUUCCACUUUCCGGAAUGAGAAACUGAGAACGCAUGCCUGGGAAAAUCAGCCGUAUAUCAUCUCCAACUCCUUGCUGUGUUUGAAGAAAUGGGAUGGAAGGGGUAACCCUGAGAAGAGAAGCUUUAGGGAAAGCCCCCUCUGGAUCAACCUUAUCCUUCAGGGAAAAUUGGUGAUCUCCUGACUCGUUGUGAAGCUCCCAGCAAUGGUGGUGACGGUGCUCAGUCGGGGUUCUUCCGACCAUCUCUCAAAGCCGGUUGCGACUAUAUCAGAUUGAUCGGAGAGUCGAUCAAUUCGUAGAGAAGAAGAAAUGCAGAGGAAGAAAUGCAGAGAAGAAGAUAAGAUUGAGUCUGAAAGUCUGAGUUGAUUCAUUCUGUUGGUUGGGUUUUUAUACCAAACCCAACGGUAACUUCAACAGUAAAAACGAAAUUAUAAACGCGGGUAAAACACGUGUCCACGUUUGAUACAUCAAUAGUUAAAACGCAAACGGAGGAUAAAAC
rnacentral:lncRNA from 1 species